rnacentral:rRNA from 1 species
GGNGUUGCNUGGCUGUCGUCNGCUCGUGUCGUGAGAUGUUGGGUUAAGUCCCACAACGAGCGCAACCCUCAUCCUUAGUUACCAUCAGGUAAUGCUGGGGACUUUAAGGAAACUGCCAGUGAUAAACUGGAGGAAGGUGGGGAUGAUGUCAAGUCAUCAUGGCCCUUAUGGAGUGGGCUACACACGUGCUACAAUGGUGGCUACAAUGGGCUGCAAAGUCGCGAGGCUAAGCUAAUCCCUUAAAAGCCAUCUCAGUUCGGAUUGUACUCUGCAACUCGAGUACAUGAAGUUGGAAUCGCUAGUAAUCGUGGAUCAGCAUGCCACGGUGAAUACGUUCUCGGGUCUUGUACACACUGCCCGUCACGCCAUGGGAAUUGGUU